UCAAUACUUAUAAUUACAUUUUUUUUAGCUAGAAUCAUGAAAACACGAUUUUUAUCAAGUUUUCAUUUAAUUUACCUGUGCACUUUAUUGUGGGACCUCGUGUCAUCAUGAAUGAUAAAUGUUAUUGUCUAAUACAAUUGUUUCAGGAAUAGCACGUGAUGUGCAGUUAGCCAAUCAGAAUAACGUAUUAUAAUGAAACAUACAUCUAAUGUAAUUAUUUUCAUAUAUUA
rnacentral:lncRNA from 1 species